rnacentral:rRNA from 1 species
UCCGGUUGAUCCUGCCGGACCUGACUGCUAUCGGGAUAAGACUAAGCCAUGGAAGUCGACGCGCGCCCUUGCGCGCGUGGCGUACGGCUCAGUAACGCGUGGUUAACCUGCCCUCGCGAUGGGUAUAACCUCGGGAAACUGAGGAUAAUCCCCAAUAGGCGAUUGGAUCUGGAAGGACCUUUCGCCCAAAGGGAUGGGGCAAAUGGGCCUCAUCCGCGCGAGGAUGGGACUGCGUCCCAUCAGGCAGUUGGUGGGGUAAUGGCCCACCAAACCUAUAACGGGUACGGGCCGUGAGAGCGGGAGCCCGGAGAUGGGCACUGGGACAAGGGCCCAGGCUCUACGGAGCGCACCAAGCGCGAAACCUUCGCAAUGCGCGAAAGCGUGACGGGGCUAUCCCGAGUGCUAGCCGCUGAGGCUAGCUUUUGCUCAGUGUAAGAAGCUGAGCGAAUAAGUGGGGGGCAAGACUGGUGUCAGCCGCCGCGGUAAUACCAGCUCCACGAGUGGUCAGGACGGUUAUUGGGCCUAAAGCGUCCGUAGCCGGCUCAGCAAGUUUAUGGUGAAAUCCGUCGUCUCAAGCGUCGGAGUGCUGUAAAUACUGCUGGGCUAGGGAGUGGGAGAGGCCGAGGGUACCUCCGGGGUAGGGGCGAAAUCCUAUAAUCCCGGAGUGACGACCAGUGGCGAAAGCGCUCGGCUAGAACACGUCCGACGGUGAGGGACGAAAGCUGGGGCAGCAAACCGGAUUAGAUACCCGGGUAGUCCCAGCCGUAAACCAUGCGGGCUAGUUGUCGGAGCGGCUUAGUGCCGCUCCGGUAACGCAGGGAAGCCAUUAAGCCCGCCGCCUGGGGAGUACGACCGCAAGGUUGAAACUUAAAGGAAUUGGCGGGGGAGCACCACAAGGGGUGAAGCUUGCGGCUCAAUUGGAGUCAACGCCGGG